GUUUGAUUAUGGCUCAGAAUGAACGUUGGCGGCGUGGAUUAGGCAUGCAAGUCGAGCGAGAAAUUUACUUCGGUAAAUGGACAGCGGCGAAAGGGACAGUAUGUGUAGGUACCUACCCUCUGAUCUGGGAUAGCUGCGGGAAACUGCAGGUAAUACCGGAUAAUGUCUUCGGACCAAAGGUGUGAUUCCGUCUGAGGAGGGGCCUGCAUCCUAUUAGCUUGUUGGUGAGGUAAUGGCUCACCAAGGCAACGAUGGGUAGCGGGUGUGAGAGCAUGACCCGCGUCAUUGGGACUGAGACACUGCCCAGACAUCUACGGAUGGCUGCAGUCGAGAAUCUUCGGCAAUGGGCGAAAGCCUGACCGAGCGACGCCGCGUGCGGGAUGAAGGCCCUCGGGUUGUAAACCGCUGUCGUUGGGGAGGAAAUGCAAGAGGGCUAUCCCUUUUGUUUGACCGAUCCAAGGAGGAAGUACGGGCUAAGUUCGUGC
rnacentral:rRNA from 1 species